rnacentral:tRNA from 1 species
UCCACUAUUCAGUUGGUAGAGUACAAAGCUUUUAAUCUUGUGGAUGUGGGUUCAAGACCCAUGGUGGAG